rnacentral:rRNA from 1 species
AUACGUAGGGGGCGAGCGUUGUCCGGAAUGAUUGGGCGUAAAGGGCGCGUAGGCGGCGCGGUAAGUCUGGAGUGAAAGUCCUGCUUUCAAGAUGGGAAUUGCUUUGGAUACCGUCGGGCUUGAGUGCAGGAGAGGUAAGUGGAAUUCCCAGUGUAGCGGUGAAAUGCGUAGAGAUUGGGAGGAACACCAGUGGCGAAGGCGACUUACUGGACUGUAACUGACGCUGAGGCGCGAAAGUGUGGGGAGCAAACAGGAUUAGAUACCCUGGUAGUCCACACUGUAAACGAUGAAUGCUAGGUGUAGGGGGUAUCGACCCCUUCUGUGCCGCAGUCAACACAAUAAGCAUUCCGCCUGGGGAGUACGGCCGCAAGGUUGAAACUCAAAGGAAUUGACGGGG